ACAAGGGGUUGAAGAUAAAGGGAGCCACGAGCCGUGCUACAAGGAAGCCCCCUGAGGCUCACGAAAUGCACGAAAUCACAUGCGGAUAAGUAGGGUUCAAAUUGUAAAACACAAAAGUUCUUUUUCCUCUGCAUUUCCAGUCAUUAUCUUCCCAACGAAGCUUUCUAAAUUUUUCUUUACAAUUUCGCUGCCUUCCUCCCCAACAAAAAUAGGAACAAUUGCCUCGUUGAGGAAACACUAGUGAUUUUUAUGGCCAUGGAAUUAGAAGCAACAGGUAAUUGAAAGAAAGGGAGAAAAACAGUUUAGGAAAACAGAGUACAAGGCAUGCACUGCUAUGAGAGCCUGUUCUGAGUGAAUGCAAGACUGAAGGAAAAAAUUGGAGUGACAGAUUGAUGGUGGAGGGUUGAAUGCAUGCAGAACAGGUUGGUGGUGAACAUUAUAGAUACUCUAAGCCAAGUAAGUUCAAGAAACUCACAUCGGAAGAUACUUAGUAAGUUCAAGAAACUCACGACUUCACCGUCAAAGUUAGUUUCUCUUUCUUUUUCUUUUCUUUUUUUGCUUGGAAGUUAUUUCCUUUGUUUACUUCAGAGAUGCUUUGCUUUUUUCUAUGGGUUUUGUUUUUAUUUGGUUGGUAUAUUUCGUUUUGUCAAGAAAAGGUUUCGAUUCUAUACUUUCAUUCAACAGUAAGCUGCUUGAGUGGUGGGAAAAUGAAUGAUUUUGAUAAUGAAAUUUAGUUAGUGCUUUACUGCCGAAGUAGCCAUUUGUUUGGACGCUGAGAAAAAUGAUAUGAAAAUAAUAAUCAAAGGUACAACCAAAAAGCUGUGAUUUUAGGUACGGUUUCCUUUUGGUUCGCAUGUGUUUGCUUGGUAAUUAUGAUAGUUUCUUUAAAUGUUGCAACUAAAUGUCAAAGGCGUUGGACUAGUCACUAGAAUGUAUACCUCUUUCUGCAUAAGUGCAAGACGGAGUACUGAUGGCUGUAUCUUUAUUCUUUAAGUUAAGAGCCUUAGCUGAGUUAGCGUCCUAACUCAUAAGGAAUAGUCACGUUUAUCUCGACGUGGUUAUCUUCCUUGAGGUCAGUUUGUGUCUUAGGUGAACAUAAUGUAUAUUCAUAAUUUGCCACGACCCAACUCCGUUCAUCUCAGUCUGCUUUCGUGCUCGCAAGAUGCUAGGGGAAAUGAUGUUGGUCUCAGCCAAUAUAAGGGGAAGACGCUCUUGAUCGUCAAUGUCGCAUCCCAAUGGUGGAUGUGAAUGGUAAAGAAGCUGCUCCGUUGUCUAAGUUCUUGAAGUCCAGCAAAGGUGGCCUAUUUGGAGACAAUAUAAAGUGGAAAUUUUCGAAAUUUCUAGUUGAUAAAGAUGGGAAUGUUGUUGACCGUCAUGCAAAGGUGGCCAUAGAAAAAAUGAAGCCAUAGGUUGUUUUGUAAUGGACUUUUGUUUUUGUACUGGACUUUUGCAUUUUUAUUGGACAUGCCACUAAGUAAUUAUUCUAACAUAUUUUGGUGUAUUGAGAAGUUGUAAAUAUGUCUCUCUCGAACUUUGUUGGAGCUUGGAGUUGUAAAUAUGUGUAGCUCUAGUUUUGAUAAUUUGACAAGUUCUACUAGACUUUAUCAUCUAGUUGAAGUUUCAGUAAAAUUACAAAGUCUAAGAAAUGAUACUAUCAACUAUGAUUUCCAGUUUUCCA